UAGAGAGAGCGAUGAAGUGCUGACAGC
rnacentral:piRNA from 1 species